rnacentral:rRNA from 1 species
UACAGAGGGUGCAAGCGUUAAUCGGAGUUACUGGGCGUAAAGGGCGCGUAGGUUGUUGCGUAAGUUAGUUGUGAAAUCCCCGGGCUUAACCUGGGAACUGCAACUGAUACUGCGGGACUUGAGUACUGUAGAGGGUAGUGGAAUUUCCGGUGUAGCGGUGAAAUGCGUAGAGAUCGGAAGGAGCGCCAGUGGCGAAGGCGGCUACCUGGACAGAUACUGACACUGAGCCGCGAGAGCGUGGGGAGCAAACAUG